rnacentral:piRNA from 1 species
UAGUUGUGAACUGUGUAGUGGAGU